CGGAAACAAAGAUGGAUGCCGAAUCAGCGUGAUCAGACAGAAAGCUUAUAUUUGCGGGUACUUAGCGAAAAUGACUGGCGGGUACAGUACUGUUACACAAUUUGUGAGGCCAAUCAGCCAGCAACGUCCACCAUUUCUGGACACCCGUUGUCCGAUUUCACCACGACCUGGUGUACAUCUUUCAAAUGUGGAACUGUGACUAUUCACGGUAACAGUAAGAUACACGUCUUGUCCGUGACUGCAUUAUUAGCAGUAAGUCGAGCGAGGCAACUGUUGCAGCUAAUUUUCACAGACAAUUACAAACUCGGGAUGUAGUGUUCUUAUUGAUGCUGGUACUGAUUGUUCAGUAAAAUAUCCAACAAAAGUAGAAGCUCUUAUUCGCAUAAGCAGUGAAGGCCCACUUAUUAGGGCCCCGCAUGAAAUGCGGGAAGCCCUAUAGUAAUCACAUUGUCCGUCCGUUCGACCGUCCGUCUGUCUGUCCGUCAACACUUUCUUUGUGACACGAUAACUCAAACAGUUUUUAUCGUACAGUUUUCAAAUUUUGUGUAUGUGUAUAUAUUUGUUUUUUUUUUUAAUGUAAUAUAAAAAAUGCUUCAUGUUACAUGUAUAUUGAAUUAAAACACGUCAUUCCCAGUCAACAACUUUCGAUCGGGAUCGGAAUACGAAAUAAAAUUUCCUAUAUCCGGUUGCAAAGUGAAACUGCUUCAUGCUUCAAGUUAUUGAAUUAUGUAGCAAUUGCACGUUACACAUUAGAGAACUGUUCAUUUUGAUAAAGAAAGUCACAAAAUAGAUACAAAAUGAGUGUACCUUAUUCAUUACUGUUACCGAGCUUUCGUCGGUGAAAAUCUCGAAAUGGCGUGUUUUGCUGCGCUUCGUCCACAUUUUCUAUGUGGUGACUGAAGUCUGGUCAGUCGGCAGGCAGCAGUACUCAAUUUACCGCAUUCCUACAAUCCAACUGAAAUUACGGGUAUUCAGAAUCGGCCUUCGAACAGUUGAUGAAGCCCGCCCUGGUAGAUGGAAUCUGCCGCUUGACCAGCAGCUAGUGAUGGGACAUCGGUUCACUUUUAUAAUCGAUCAUCGGUUAGAAUCGGUUGCUGCUUCCGAUGCGAUUUUCCGAUUAUAAUCGGAUGUUACAUUUUUACUAUAUAAAGCAUAAUCUUGUAGGUUUGUUUUUUUUAAAAAAUCUUCAAUUAUAUAUCAAUUAGCUAAUAUCAAUAACUCAAUAUGAUGUUUUCUAUGUUGUCUUGAUGCUUUUGCACUUUCUAUAUAAGCACCUUAUAGUUCAUAAUCACCUUAGCUUUGUGCUGGUUGGAUAGUUGGAUAUAUAACUAGCUCAUAAUUAUGAUGGAUGCCAUUGGAAGGUGAGAUGCAUAUCCAUAUUGAAUCUUACACGGAGAUCAGAGAUGGAAAUUUAACUAUAUAUUAUUCAAAAUUAAAACAUAAAAAAGUACUAGUGCAGAUUUGUUUUUUAUUCAAUACAAAGCAUUACAUUUCUUAAACAAAUAGUUAACAGCUCUUUCUAGGAGAGAAAUAGCAAGGUAAACUAAACACCAGUAUGAUGUAAAACUCAGCAUUUUAAUCUAAAUCUCUACUGUCUCUGACUUAAGCAUAAUACCAUUCAAUCUCUCACCAAAAUAUACUCAUGUUUUUGCUCAAAAAAAUAAACAAAUCUACAUUAUCUGCAUUCAACCUACUUCUCUUUUUUGACACCAACCCACCAGCAAGAGAAAAUACUCUCUCUGAUGGCACACUACUAGCUUGAACACAUAAACUCUUUUUUGCAAGAACUGCUAUUCUGGGGGAAAACAUUUCAUUUUUCUGCCUCCACUCUAGAGCUGUGAGCCCUUUGUCAUCUUCUUUCAGUGCAAUCCCCAGGUAACGUCUGGUCUCUUCAUAAGCCAUAUCAUCUUGUGAAACUGCUUUCUCCUACGCACAUUUUAUCACUAAGACAGUCUUCUGUGUCUGCUGUUUAUGUUCACUAUCCAGAUGUGCACGGAAAUUUGUAGUAUUUCCUGUAAAGGGAACUUAUCAAUUUACUAAGAUAAAGGGAGUUAUAUUAAGAAAAAGAUAAAAGAUACUAGGUAUUUAAUACUAGAAUAUAGUAAAGUACGUUCAAGAAAAUUCGGAAUUUAAUAUCAAGUUGCAUAUGAUGCGAUUGUAAGAACUGAUAGUUAUGGCACACUGAAUAAAUCACCAAUGUAUAUGAUAGAAAAAAUAUUAUACAUUUGAAACAAGAAUAUCGUGCACAUGAUUCUGGUGUGUUGCACUAAAAAAUGCGCGCCACAUGUCAAAGUAUGAAAAAAUAAACUUACCAGUGUUGGUGUAUUCCUUUUAGCAUAUACGUCACACGGCUUUAUUUAGAUUUAGGUUCGUUUUACUUGGAGGUAAAUUGAUGUCUACCUUCCGAAAUCCGAAAUACUUCCAUACUUCUGACUUCUUUUUCACGCCCGGGUGAUCAUAUAUUCCAUUGUUUGACGCCAUUUUUGUCCCUGGCACAGGUAAAACGAUAACAGAAACGGUCUAAUUCCGGAAUGCGCUCUAUGAGAUGUGUGGAUCCGAUGAUCGAUUAUGAAAAAAAAUAAUCGAUCAUCGGAAUCGGUAGCUUUUUUUCGUCGUUAAUCGAUGUUUUCUGAUUAUCAGUACAACACUACCAGCAGCACUGUCCAGGUCAGUGGUUACCUAUUGCUCUAGACAAGGGUGUCACAUGGAGACUCAUUUUUCCUGAUGGUCUUGACGUUCACUAGCUGGCAAUAUUUGUGACUCAUAUUAGCCUCAUUUACAUUCUGAAGUUUAAUUCAUAACAUAUUGCUGGAUAUUUGUAGAGACAGUGGUUGAUGCUGGAUAUAUGACUUUUCCUCAGCCCAUCAUUACCUGCUGGAGUGCUGGUUGAGGCUGAACGCUUUAAUAAAUAUAACUGUGAUCUUGCUGAGAUGUAGUAAUCUAUGGGAAUUUUCCAAAGAAGAUUCAAGAGAAGUAUUCAAUUAUAUAAGUUCAGACUGUAGAGAGCAUGAAAGCAGAUAUUACAGUUAUCUCCCUUAGACUAGAUGAAUUACAAUGCAGCACUUUCAAAUCAUCUAAGUUUAGAGUUAUAAUGCUGUUUGAAUUUUCUGAAUUUGACUACGGUUACUAGUUAAAGACAUAACCACAUGUAUUGCCUCAGUUUACUUACAAUUAUAAUAUAUACCUAUAAGUAUAAAUUGUCAUUCUCUUAAUUUUGUAUAAUUUGUGGAAUUUAUGAAAAUUGCAUGAUCACUGUUCGUUAUCUUCUCUUUAUAUUACCAGUAGAUUCUAUGUACCUGACUCACCAGGAAUGCAUUGUUAGGUCACCUUAGUCACUCAGGUGAUCUUUUGCUAUUGAUCUGCCCGUUCGUUAUUGUCGUCUGUCGAUUGAUUGUAUAUCGAUUCGUUUAACACCCCCCUCAACAAAAUUUCACUCAUGGAGACAUCAUCAAUUCCGAAGGGCUGCAAAAUUUAGGUCUAUGCUCGGCGCUUAUGGCCUUUGAGCAGGGAGGGAUUUUUAUCUUGCCACAAAACAUUCUUGGGAAAAGGGGAUUCAUGUUUGUUCAAAUGAAGCAACGUGUCAACUUGAAAGGGGAAAUUUAAUACAGUGAAACUUCUCCAAAUCGACCCCUCAGAAAACCAUUCCUCUCUGAAUAUCGCCCAAUUCUUAAAGUCUCUGUAGGAAUCUUAACAUAUCCUUUCAAAGAAAUUCAUAUAGUCCAAAAUGUGACUUAUCGAGAUUUCCGCCAUUUUUGACAAGGGACUUCUGGGAUGAUCCUCAGUUAAAGGUUCAGAUUUAGCUCGGAUUAUUCUGUGCUCUUUAGUCAUUGGAGCGUGCAGUAUGAGCCAGAGCACUGCGCUCACUAUUAAUAUGCAAGUAGCUGCAUUUAAUUCAAAUUGAAGUUGAACGCAAGGACCCCAGGGGUAGGGUGGGGGCAGAAUAUGAAAUCAGAGUUUUAUAUGGUAAUAUGCAGAAAAUUUAUUAAAACAAAGACUGUUCAAGAGUAGCAGGGCCACACUAAAUCAUAUCCAAAUGCAAAUGUCCCCAAGUUGUGUGAAAACAAGGUUUUUUUAUGACCCUGACUAAGGAUGGGGUGGAAUUGUUUUUGUCCUGUCUGUCUGAAAUUUUAACUUUCCUCAUAACUUUUAAAUAAUGAGCAAUGGGGCUCUCAUAUUUGCAUUCUUUUUUUAUAGCCAUAAAGUCUUUCACUUCGUGACCUUGACAUUAGAGUUUCAUCUACUGACCGGUUUAGGUAGGACUUUCACAUUUUGUAUACAUAUAAUGACCUGAACGUUUUACAGAAUAGUCAUAUUGGUAUUGAGGCAUUCUUGUGUUGUGUGAAUUUAAGUUUGCUUUAUGUCGUGAACUUAGGGGCUAGGUGGGGCCACAAAAUAGUGUCAACAUAUUUCAUAGGAAUAAUGAUUGAAAAUACAAAAAAAAAAUUGAAAAUCAAAACAGCUGACCAAGAGCAAGGUGACUCGGGUGAGUGAUGUGGCCUAAAGGCUUCUUUGGGAUUAAACUCUAAGGUUAUAAAGUAUGUUUCUAACAAUUUAUCUGAAAUUAUUUGUAUGUGUUGAUUUUGGGGUCCAAAAAGUCAAGGUCACUACUGGACUUCAUAGAAAAGCUAGUAUAAAUUCAUUACGGAAGCAUAUGCCCUGCGUUGCAGAGUUCUUAUUCAUAUUCUAUCAUGAAACAGAAAACAAAGUCGCUUGACAAAAUUCUCUUCCAAAAAUUUACUGAGCAUUUUCAACUUGCAGACAAUUUUACUUGCCUGUCUGAUUUCUGGUGAUUCCAGCACUCAAUGCUACUUUGGUUUUUCAGCUUUCUGGACCUUAAAAGAUGUUGACACCCUGCUGAUGGAGCAGAUCCUAUUUCUUAGAAGCAGAAAGCAGUUCUCUUACCAUCAGAUCUGAUCCAUUUUUGGAGAUAGCCUUUUGUAUGGAGCUGGGUAACGGUUACUGGAGACAUGCUGUUGAUUGAUGAGGAUAAUUUUCCCGAGACUCUGACAUAUUGCAGGACCUGGAUAGCUCUACUGGUGUUCAAAAUGCCAGGACUGUGGAGUGUUGUGAUGUUAUUGAUGGUCAACAGAAGACUGUGACCUUGAAUCUGAAGAUCUGUGAUGAAGACUGGACGUUUGGGGUCACUCUCUGUUAUAGUACUACAAAUCUAACAGUGAACCGUUCAGCCACAAAGAGGUUGUCUCUGAUGUCCACACAUAAACCUACUGGACGUUCUAAAUGACAGUGAAUGUAACGGAGGAACUGUCCGUCCUGAUCUAGGAUGUGGAUACGGUGUUUGUGAAUGUCUGCUGUCAGGAUGUGACUCUGGCUGUCUGUAGUGAGGCCGCGUGGAUUAAAUGAUUGCUCGGUAUUAGAGGGAUGACCAGUGUAUCUAAAUCGGAGUUUUCCUGACUGAUUGACCACCACUACUGCUCUAGCUCCAUUGUCAGCCACACAGAUAUCCAGGUUCUUGUUCUCACUGAGGUAUUUAGGGAAUGUAUCAGAUGAGUAGAGAGGACGACCCUGAUCAUCAAACUGAAUGCUCUGUUUCUCUGUGGAGCCGGAGUAACGCACGACUUUGUAUUGUUUGUCAUCAUCACUGAUCAUGGUAACCAGGAGAUCAUCAGAGGCGGUACUGCAGACAUAGAGAGGGUACCACCCCUGUAGUGUGAUCACGAUUGAGUUGUGUGGAACAAUGAACCUCCGGAUAUCUAUGUACAUUUACACGUGUAUGAUUAAACUUCUGUUGUACUCGCGUAUGUGAGUUUAUCCUGUA